UACGUAGGGUGCAAGCGUUAAUCGGAAUUACUGGGCGUAAAGCGUGCGCAGGCGGCUCUGUAAGACAGGUGUGAAAUCCCCGGGCUCAACCUGGGAACUGCAUUUGUGACUGCAAGGCUAGAGUUUGUCAGAGGGGGGUGGAAUUCCACGUGUAGCAGUGAAAUGCGUAGAGAUGUGGAAGAACACCGAUGGCGAAGGCAGCCCCCUGGGAUAAAACUGACGCUCAUGCACGAAAGCGUGGGGAGCAAACAGG
rnacentral:rRNA from 1 species